GAGACUCAAGGUUUCUAAAGACCCUGUAUGGCUUCCGGACCAUUUUCAUUCAUGGCCUCCGUGCAAGUCACAUUCUGUGCGGCAGAGGGCUGUGAAUGGCUGUCGGUCAAGGAAAGCUGCGGGAUAAGAAAGGGAAACAGGCUGGAGAAGGUGAAAAGGGUGCUGAUGAUUCUCUCUUCAUACUCCACACCUCGCCCCUUAGCUUGCCCCCCCCCCCCCCCCCGUGCUGUGCACGCGACAGGCUGCUUUGUCAGCAAGCCACAUUCGCCAGGGCUCCAGAACACACCGUUAGAGGCGCCUGGGGAUGCUGACAUAGCAGGGCGGGCGCGCCCACCCAGGCAGCCCCCUCUGAGGAAGGUCCACCAGACCCGCCCCUUCAGGAGCCUCGGUCCCCAAAAGGUGCUGAGCGAAGCGGUUGGAGCAAAUCCAAAAGCGCGAGUGACCAUGAAACAGCCUCAG